GUGACGUCGUCUUUGAAAACCGGUCCAGAUGCGGCAUGACGUAAUAUCGAGAAACGACGUUUAAAGUUGCGCCAAGUUUACGCGCGCAGCUUUCUUACACAUGUUUUAAUUAGCAAAAGUUUGACCGUUAAAGUACGACUGCUUGUUACAUGAUUGAUGACAGCCUACUACAGAAAGAAUAUUUAGACAUCAGACCUGUAAAUAAAUAGUGGUAUUACGCCUGAGACAAAAUACUUCGUUCAAAAUCAGUUGUUUCCCCUUCGCUACUGUAUGUUUCCGGUUUCGGAUUUUAUCAGGGAAGCAUGUGAAGUUUACUUUUGUUUAACUGCCUUUUGUUCAACGAUGAAGGGAUCUGAGACUUGUAGUACUGUUUACUGAUUUGAUAAUAUUCCUUGUUCCUUUGAUGGUUCAUUCUACUACAGCUGGUUCAUAUACCCUACAACAGCCAGGAAAUUGGUCUGUUUACUUUAAGAUCAGAAGAAAAUGUAACAUAUUUUGGAUGUGCUUUGAGGAAUCAGGUAAGUAACAUGCAGCUAAUGGCUCCUAUUAUAAUUUUAAUGCAAUAUAUUAUUUAAUUAUACCUCUGUCUAAGUUUUGUUGGAGCCUAUACAAAAUAAGUCUACUUCUACACUAAUGAUUUGUACAAUGUAUGUACAUGUACUAUGACUAUUGAAUGGCUUAAACUGACAAAACUGGCAUUAUUGAAAUUUCAUUUCAACAAUCCGGUUUUGAGGAGGAUCAGUUUGUGAAAAGUCUUCAUUAUAUUGGCUAUUAGCCUGAGAAAAGUCUGUGGCACUCAAUAAGUACAUGGAUAAUUUGAAUGCUUAACACUACAUGUACAUGUGUAUAAAUUGAUAUCUCAUUAAAUUGUAGAAGAGUUCUAAAUAAUAGGAAUUUUAAUUAAUUAUUUGAAGUAAAUCAGUUAAUUGUAAUUUAGUUUAAUUGUAAUGUGAUUAUUUUCAAAUUUAAUUAACCCAUUCUUGACUUAGAAAUUGUGAUGUGAUUGAAUUUUUUUACCAGUUUUAUUGCACCAAGAAUAUGGAUUAGAAUGAAGGCUGUAAAGGUUCCUGAGAUACAUGAAGAUAACAGAUACUUUUACCAAAGACUUUUAAAUCUUUUUUCAGGAAGGCAAGUGUUUCCUCUUGUUUAUGAAAGAAACUCAGUUGGUUAAGGGCAGACAACUUGUGAGCAUGGUACAUCACUACCUGUAUUGGUAUUCCAUUUUGACAAUGCUGCUAGCUAGAAUAGAAAUAACAUCUUGCUGUGGUAUGGUCUGUGGAGAGUUUUACUAGGAUAUCACAGAUCGAUUGAAUAUUCAACAAUGAUCACAGACCAUGCAAAGUUUGAAUCUGACUUGCACUUUUGAAUUUAGAAGAAUCUGUGGAGGAGGGUGAAUGCCGAGACCUUUAAUAAUACAUGAUAUUGCUGACACAGUGUGUCAGUCAUCAAAGAAAGGUCAUAACAUUGCACAGUUGGUCAACAAUGAUUUAAAUCCUGUCACAUUCUACCAGUGGAGAAAUAUCUUAUCACAAUAUUUUAAACUUUUGAAGAAGAUAACUAAGUAUUACCACUUUACCAUGUCUGCAGAAACACCUGGAUUGUUAGUGUUAAAAGUGACAGUCCAGUUGAGACAGUUAACUUACUAAAAUAUACUCCCCCUUGCCAAACGAAUAUUACUGACAUGGAAUGACACAAGCCUGACAAUGGUACCUGUAUGAACUCCUAAGAGAAUAGUAUUUGUCUGAAAAGUCAAAGGAUUCUGUUUGUCCCAGACCACUUGAACUGAAAACUGAAAUUGUGAUUGACGAGGAUUUUUCUGAGAACUGAAAAAAGGAAGUGAAUAUAAAAGAUAGAAAUUGUUGUAGAAUUCAAACGUUUUAAUACACAACACUUUAGCCUGUUUUGCUGUUCAUAUAGAUGUGUUUAGCUGUUAAGGUUAAACAUCAAGUAAAGGUUGUAGUUUCAGUUACCUACAUUAAAGUAUUGGCUGGAAAUAAAUAUUUACUUUUCACCAGAGCUUGUAGCAGUGUAACCUUCAUCAAAAGUUAAGCUAUUGUGUUAAUUAUUAAAGUAUUUUUAGAAAAAAGGAAUUUAGUAUGUAUGUUGCCAUGGUAACAUAAUUCAAAUUAUAUUUCAUUGAAAUUAUGGAUUUGUAUUUCAAUAAGGGAUCUACAGUAUAUAAUGUAAUGGUAAAAGAAUGUUCACUUUCUUCAGUAUUGUCAGUUAUAACUAGCCAGUGAAAAAAAACAGAUUAUGAGGAAAGGGAUGACUGAAAUGUUUAUUCUUACGAUAACUACUUUUGUUACUUUUUUUGUUUUGUUAUUUUAAAGUUUUUAUGUGAAAUUUUCAGAGUUCUUUCCUGAAUACUUAUACUUUAAAAUAUUUAACUUAUUAGAAAUACUUUUUUAAAAUAAGCUCUUGUUUUUAGGUAUUAUUGUAGGAAAAGGGAAUUUAAAACAUAUGUCGCCAUGGUAACACGAUUUUCUUAGAAAAUAUGGAAAUUUUUUAAUUAGCUGUACUUUCUAGUAUUCUACUUUAAAAUAAGCAUAAACAAUAAAAAAAUCAGUAGUAAUAUAUGUUUCAUUUAUUUCAAAAUAGUCAUUUAUUACCAACAGGUAAAAGGCAAGUUAUGAAGAAACAAUGACAGAAAUGUCUUAUUCUUAUAGUUAUUACUCAUGUUACAAACGCUGUCAUAAAACAAAACAUUUUAAUUUUUUUAACAUGGAAUUUUGAGAUAAUAUUUUUUAAUACACACCACUUGAUAAUAUUCAAGUUAUCUGAAACACUUU